UCCUCAGCCUCCUUCGAGGCAGACUGGAACUCUCGGCCCCUUGAGAGCUGCCCGCGCCGUUUGGCCGGCGGCCGGGGGGCGGGGGGGAGGGGCGGCUGGCUCGGACGUGGACCCCCGACCCCACCCCCCGCCAUCGGAAGGUUCCCAAAAGCCGCCGGCUGGGGCAGUCCGCUCUGGGUGGCUCUGAUCAUCUCUCAUUUUAGUGUCCGUUAUAUUGGAGCAAAUGAGACUGUCCUGCCUGCACAAAUAAGGCCUGCAAAAUCUAGCUGUCCAUGAGCCAUUGCAUAUAGCAAGUUACCCCACAAAAAAGAUGGGAGUUUGGAAGGGACAUGAUAGAAGUGGAGAACAAGCUGCAGUCACAAUUCUGGUUACAGGAGCUAAAGGUUGGCCUAGAAUGGUUAUCCUCACAACAACCUGCUGGCACCUGUCUGUCUUGGGAGACAAUGGAAGAGUGCGCCUUUGAGAGUGAAGUCAAGCCGUUAGUUACAGCACCUGCUGUGGCUGUGGAGACUGCUGUGGGAGAGACAUGUUUUGUUGCAGCUGCGGCAGAUGAAGAGGUCCAGUUUCACUGUUACAGAUACACCAUGGCAUUUCUUCUCUCUGCACUCCUCCCAGUGUUAAUUUCUCCUGAGGUUGUGUUUCCACAGCAGUGACCUGAAUGAUUGUCUCCAGGUGCUGUGGUCAUCUGCAAGGGAUCCCCACAUUGUGGGGGUGCGGUUGCCAGCCUUCAUAUGGUCUGCCAACAGGCUUGGUGUCUGAAGACAGCUCCCCAUAGAGCACAUCCUUUGGGAUCCUACCAUCUUCCACCACCAAGCCAGCAUAGAAGUUGCUGAGACAGGAGCAUGAACAUACUGGGAAUGUGGGUGUGGGAGAGCACAUCCUUGUUUGAGACUAUGUCCUGCCAUGGGACACCCAAAUUCUUCCUGAUGCAGCACAUGUGGAAAGCAUUGAGAUGUCGCUCCUGGCAGGUGUAAGUUGCCCAUGACUCACAACAACCAUGUGAGGUAGGCUAGACUGAGAGGCGGGUGGUGAAAGGCUAAAGGGCAUCAAGCAAGCUUCAUGGCUGAACAGAGAUUUGAACCUGGUCUCUAACCAGUACAGUGGUGCCUCGCAAGACGAAUUUAAUUCGUUCUGUGAGUCAAUUUGUUUUGCGAAAAAUUCGUCUUGCGGAUCCCAUAGGAAUGCAUUGAAUUAUUUAUUUAUUUAUUUAUUGCCCAUAGGAACGCAUUAAUUGAAUUUCAAUGCAUUCCUAUGGGAAACCGCGAUUCGCUAGAUGAAUUUUUCACAAAACGAAUUAGUCUUGCAAGGCAACCUCUGAUCGCAAAAACCAUUCAUCUAGCGAAAAAUUCGUCUAGCAUGGCAUUCAUCUAGCGAGGUACCACUGUAUAUCACAUAGCCUCAUUCUCCACCUCAUACCACAGAAGCUUAAACAGUGGCUGUCACUAAGCAUUAACCAUUUGAUGGCUGAUUUGAGGCAACACUGGAAGCUGUAUGCUGGCUCCUUUGGCCAAUAAUGCGAGAUGCGCGCCGCAACCCCAGAGUCAGUCACAACUGGACCUAAUGGUCAGGGGGUACCUUUACCUUUAUCUUUGAGGCAACACUAUAAUGUCAAAUAUAUCAAAGACAAAGUAGAGAAUUCAACACCAGUGUCUAAUCAUGCAAUGGUUUAUGACAGACAAGGGAGGAGAAAGUCAUAGGGACAAGUUUUUGUUCUUGUUUUUUUUGAGGAUGAACAUGUGGAAGGAGAGAGCAUGUGUUCCUUUUUAAAAAAUAAGCAUGUCCUGCCUUUGUCGUACAAUAAUGCAACAGUGUAAUAAAUCUCAGUUAAAAUAUUACAAAUAUUUUUUUAAGUGCAACCCCUUGCAUGUUCACUCAGAAAUAAGAUCUUGACUUACUGCCCAGUUUUUUGCUUACAGAAUUUUUAUCCAGCUCUUCAGGCAAAAAAGGGGGGGCUCUCAGUGUGUCUUAUGGAUCACUAAAAAGAAAAGAAAACCAAACUGUCCCUGCCACCAGGAUUGCAAUAUAAAAAGACACAACACAAACGGGAAAUGAAUUGGGAGGGAGGAGGAAAUAAGCCUAGUGAGGUACACACUCGUAAUUACAAGUUAUUUUAAUGACCAUAUGGGAUGCAAAAGUUCUAAUAGAGCAGGGGC